rnacentral:lncRNA from 1 species
GGCCCGUUUGGUACGCAGGAUAGUGAGACAGGAUAUGAUAAAACUAUCAUAUCCUACUUCAAUCCAUUGUUUGGUGCACCAAUAGGAAAGGAUAAAGUAAACUUAUUUCUAAUCCUAUCCUAUUGCUCCUUUGUUAUUUUAAUCCUUAAUUUUUGGUGGGUUACCAACCUGAUAGCAUAAAACUAUCAGGCGCGUAUUUCUCUUCUCACGGAACCCUUCUUCGAUUCCCAACAAAUCCUUUGUUUCAAUAAUUUUCCUAAUUUUUUUCUUUCAAUAAUUUCCCUAAAUUUUAUACUCUGU